UGAGGAAUAUUGGACAAUGGAUGGAAAUCUGAUCCAGCCAUGCCGCGUGCAGGAAGAAUGUCCUAUGGAUUGUAAACUGCUUUUGUAUGGGAGCAAUAAGGUCUUCGUGAAGGCCGAUGAGAGUACCAUACGAAUAAGCACCGGCUAACUCCGUGCCAGCAGCCGCGGUAAUACGGAGGGUGCAAGCGUUAUCCGGAUUUAUUGGGUUUAAAGGGUGCGUAGGCGGUUAUAUAAGUCAGCGGUGAAAUUUUUCGGCUCAACCGGAAACAUGCCGUUGAUACUGUAUAGCUUGAAUAUGGUUGCUGUGAGUGGAAUGUGUAGUGUAGCGGUGAAAUGCUUAGAUAUUACACAGAAUAUCGAUUGCGAAGGCAACUCACAAAGCCAUUAUUGACGCUGAGGCACGAAAGUGUGGGGAUCAAACA
rnacentral:rRNA from 1 species